rnacentral:misc_RNA from 1 species
GCAAACUUGGUCAUUUAGAGGAAGUAAAAGUCGUAACAAGGUUUCCGUAGGUGAACCUGCGGAAGGAUCAUUACAGAGUUCAUGCCCUAAACGGGUAGACCUCCCACCCUUGGAUAUUAUACCUUUGUUGCUUUGGCGGGCCGCCACGGCCACUGGCUUCGGCUGGUGAGUGCCCGCCAGAGGAUCACAAACUCUGAAUAUACAGUGUUGUCUGAGUACUAUAUAAUUAGUUAAAACUUUCAACAACGGAUCUCUUGGUUCUGGCAUCGAUGAAGAACGCAGC